rnacentral:tRNA from 1 species
AGCGGGGUAGGGAAGCUAGGAGUACCCGCCGGGCUCAUAACCCGGAGAUCGGAGGUUCAAAUCCUCCCUCCGCUA